AAGUCGUAACAAGGUUUCCGUAGGUGAACCUGCGGAAGGAUCAUUAGUGUGGGUGUUUGAGAGUGUUGUGCUGUGUUGUACCGUUGUCCCAUUGGACAUCCUUUUAUCCAUCCAAUCAAUCCAUUUACAUGCGAACCAAUAAAACUGCCAGCAACGAAUCACUUGGUUCUC
rnacentral:misc_RNA from 1 species